ACUGCAGACUUCUCAGACUUCAGUAGUUAGUCUGCCAACUGCUGGAGCUAUCUUUGGUGUUUAGUGCCAUGGAGGAAAAAGAGAAUUUCAAGUCCAUUGAAAGGCCCUCCAUUCCAGGCUCUGCUGAAAAGGUGCAGCCUUCCUCUCAUAUACUGUGCCCUGCCUGCAGGGCUUCAACGGGUUCUCUACCACCCUAAGGAUGGAAUGACAGGGACAGGAGAUACAAGGAAACACACCAAGUCUGGAUUCUGAUCAAGUGUCAAGGAUCAUCAGUGUAGAAGAGGUACCAUCGAGAUAUUGGAUGGGGCCUCCCACGUUAAUUACUGUAAGGAGCAGAGAAUUCCCUGAAUUAGUGGAUUAGAGGAUUCCUGAAUGAAGGUGUUUUAUGACAAAGCCAUGACCAUGUUGGAGAUUUCAAAGACUUGGACACAUGGAAUAAUCAGCAAAUCUGUCUCCUUACACGGACCAGGCUCCAGAGAAAUAACACAGCUUUCAUUGGGAGUCUUCGUCUGAGUGUUUAUUGACCAGGGUAUGUAAGACUAUCAGCUGCAGCUUCCUCCUCCUGGGUGUUUACAUCUUGAAAGUGGUCACCUUCAGAGACCUCCUGGGAAAUGAGCUAACCCCUACACUUGUGGUGUACCUAAUAAAUAUCCUGAGAGUCUGAGUUGUGGAGGGUUAGAAAAUUCCCUAGCUAUACUGUAUGUAUAUCUCUGGGUCAGUAUUUCCUUCAUUCCCUCACAACUCCUAGAGAGAUUCCCAGGACCCAAGCCAUGCAGGUCGCAAAUAAUCACUAUUUAGAAAUUGAACCACAGAUUUACCUUCAGGUCAGACAAUAUUAAGGCAUUUUGUCAAUUGAGAAUUUUUCUUCCCAAAUGAUUCUGGGUUCUAUUAGGUUGACAUAACACCAAAGAGCACAGGCUCCUUUCUCAAUGCAAAUACACUGAGUUCUUAUGUUUUCAUUAAAUGUUAUCCUGGUGCCCUUGUAGAUGUUUCUGUACCAUCUGUAGAUGUUUCUGAGCUUCCUGGACCCCAAUCAUUUCUGUAGGAAAAAACCUACAUCGGUGCUGUAGUUUUUGUCCCAAAUGCAUAGCAUCUGUUCUACAAGGAAGAGGAAAGCAAGAGCUUCCCAGUUUCAUCAGUGAUUAAUGAGAAAUGAGGAAAGGAGACUUCCUGUAAAAAAGGAAAGCCAUUUUGACAGUACAGGAUCUUUGAAAAUUUUUUGUAGAGGA